UACAGAGGUCUCAAGCGUUGUUCGGAUUCAUUGGGCGUAAAGGGUGCGUAGGCGGCGCGGUAAGUCGGGUGUGAAAUCUCGGAGCUUAACUCCGAAACUGCAUUCGAUACUGCCGUGCUUGAGGACUGGAGAGGAGACUGGAAUUUACGGUGUAGCGGUGAAAUGCGUAGAUAUCUGGAGGAAUACCGGUGGCGAAGGCGGCAUCCUAGACCGACAUUGACGCUGAGGAGCGAAAGCCAGGGGAGCAAACGGG
rnacentral:rRNA from 1 species